GUAUUUGCGUUAAAGUCAUUGCAACGUAUCGUCCGGCAAGUCGGCUGUGCUUCAGCCUUCACACUCGUGUAUUCAAGUCAUGCUUCGCGGUUCAAGGCAGACGCGUUCGACAUCGGGUUCAUAUUCAAAACAAAAUAAAGUGAUGGAAGUGAGCGUGGCGGAUCCUGGAGGCCCCGUUUCGCCGGCUGCCAGGAAAGAACGUGGAAGAUCUCCUUCUCGGCGACAAUCAGGCGCAGAAGAGCAAGCAACGAAGAAGAAGAAGAUGUCGAUUGGAGAUAGACGAGAAAACGUGUUUGCCUGACGGGAUGAUUACGAGACUGUGGUGACACAGAGGGCGCUCGUUCGAGGACGCCUGGCACUUGUGAGUUCAAACAGAGGCAACUAAACGCAUGGUUUCCGUGAGCCGAGACUUCAGUGCUGCUAUCCAGAUCAGACGAUGUGCGUUGUUGAAGACGAGACCCGAGGGGCUGACGCGAUACAACUCUAUGCGGCAGCCUCUCGGUCUCGAAGUGUGCUGGGAGAGCAACUGACACCGAUAACAGGUGCCGGUCAAAAACGACUAGGAUGCGCCUGUGCGUCGGUAGAUAUCUAUAUAGACUCUAUAGAGGCGAAACAUUUCGCUCCCUUAGGUGCUGCAGGCCUAUGCCUACCUUAGCUGUGCUCUUUUAUCUCGUAAUUUUGAAGAUGAAGCAUCGACCGGUCGAACCGCAGAGAUCGAAGCGCAUUCCCGCCUAUCUUUAAUGGGAAGCUCUUUUGCUUAUGUUUGAUUUUUUUCUCAGGUAUCUGGCAGAAGGUAUGUCCUCUCUUCAUUGACGAAGGCGCUGUGCAAAUACGUAAUGCUGUCGCCGCUCGCCUGCGAAGAGAACACCUCGCUUGUCCAGGUCGCUCGUUCAAAAUUCAGCACUUGGAUGACCGAUCGUUCUCGUAUCCUUCAUUCCGAGCGUCGUGCACCCGAAAAGAACCAAUCCGACACCAUCUACUAGGCUGUUUUCUUGUUAUUCCGUUGCAAUCCGAAUGCUCUCUGGGCGAUACUCCAUGAGAUACCACAGUAUGUGACGUUUUUCGCACGGUGCAUAUGAACGGGGAUGAAGCGGCACGGAUGGGCAACGAAAAAAUCGCGCCUGUCUACGGGAGACCGUCCCAUUCUUUUUUAGACAAGACUUUAUCGGGUUCGCCCUGAAAGAGGAUUGCGCAUCCCAUGAGGAACAGGUGCUCGUCUCGCGCUAUGAACCGCUACUCGGGAGGAGUGAUCGACCUGUCCAUGGGUGCUUACAGAGCGGCAGCCUACUGCUCGUAGCGAAGCGAGAAGCGAUCCUCACAACAACUUCACCCCUAGUGGAGACGCAAUCAUGCAGUCGGUAACAAUGCUCCAUACGGAAAGGAUCAUGAAACACCUCAUGCAUCGUCAACGCAACUAGCGGCUUCGGCUUCCUGCAUUCCCUGGUCUGCCUCCGAGACAAUGUCGCUCCUCGUCACAAAUAUGCUGCCAAAGAGCACGUAGCGGGUAUCGGCGUUGUGCUGCUUUUCGUGUGAGGCCCCGGGAUUUGGACCCAUCCCGUCCAUGACGUCUUCUGCAAUGUCCAAUGGAAUUUUUAUGUACAAGCAUUCAUUCGACAGAUGCGCAUAUGCUUCAUAUCCAAAAACUAUCCGUGACGCCAUUCAACUUCGCUUAUCUUCUGGCUUUGGGAAUGCUCACCUAGUAUUACCCGACUUGCCGUACCUCGACGAGCAGCUGUUCAUACGAGUCCGGGACGCAGGGCUGCCAGCUAUCAACAUUCAUCAGGAAUUGAUGGAUCAAACCUUCGUGCGACAACAACUCCGAUACACCGGAUAGAGAAUAUGACAUAGGGUCUGGUUGUAGGAUCAGUGAGUUCACAACGCGCUUCGGAGAGUACCUGGACACGUCGCAGCUGGACUGGGGCGACCAGAGCAUCUACAGCGCUGGUCUCAGAAAGCGUCGAACUAAUCGCAACAGCCAAAUUCACAUGCGGGUUCGUGUCGAGCACUUCAAGAAGCACAGCUUGUGGGCGUUGUAUAGUCACCUUACUGGCCCAGAUCGAUAAUGACGGAUGGAACGGAUCCUCCUGGUGCUAGUGGAAGCAACUGAUGAGCCGGAUGGAGGCAGAAGAGCUCGAGUUGGUUGCGAGUUCUGCGGAUAUGUCGCAACGCGAGCCAGAGCUCCCUGCCAUCCUUCAAGGGCAACGUGCUGCUCUCAGCAUCGGCCCGACAGCGGUCAUCUAGCCGGGAUGCUUGGGACAGGAAGCCUGCCUUCCUCGCAUCAUGCGCAACUACUACGUUUCCCGGAACAGAGCCGUCCGAUGCAUAUGGCGAAUUUCCUCGCUGUAAACGAGCGCCC